GAUCACGGCGUGUCAAUUGGACAUGACCGAGAUGGGGAACGCGGGGAUUUCUCAGAUUUCUCGCCAUGGUCAACGAAUUGGCAUUCGAGCGCUCCACCUGUCCGCAGC
rnacentral:sRNA from 1 species